rnacentral:rRNA from 1 species
UACGGGGGGUGCGAGCGUUGUCCGGAAUUAUUGGGCGUAAAGAGCUUGUAGGCGGUUUGUCGCGUCUGCUGUGAAAAUCCGGGGCUCAACCCCGGACUUGCAGUGGGUACGGGCAGACUAGAGUGUGGUAGGGGAGACUGGAAUUCCUGGUGUAGCGGUGAAAUGCGCAGAUAUCAGGAGGAACACCGGUGGCGAAGGCGGGUCUCUGGGCCGAAACUGACGCUGAGGAGCGAAAGCGUGGGGAGCGAACAGG